AAAUUGAAGAGUUUGAUCAUGGCUCAGAUUGAACGCUGGCGGCAGGCCUAACACAUGCAAGUCGAACGGUAACAGGAAGCGCUUGCUGCUUCGCUGACGAGUGGCGGACGGGUGAGUAAUGUCUGGGAAACUG
rnacentral:rRNA from 1 species